UACGUAGGGACCGAGCGUUGUCCGGAAUCAUUGGGCGUAAAGGGCUCGUAGGCGGUCCAUCGCGUCGGGAGUGAAAAGCUGGGGCUUAACCCCAGUCCUGCUUCCGAUACGGGUGGACUAGAGGUAGGCAGGGGAGAACGGAAUUCCUGGUGUAGCGGUGAAAUGCGCAGAUAUCAGGAGGAACACCAAUGGCGAAGGCAGCACUCUGGGACGUGACUGACGCUGAGACGCGAAAGCGUGGGGAGCAAACAGG
rnacentral:rRNA from 1 species